rnacentral:rRNA from 1 species
AGAGUUUGAUCCUGGCUCAGGAUGAACGCUGGCGGCGUGCCUAACACAUGCAAGUCGAGCGAAGCACUUUGCUUAGAUUCUUCGGAUGAAGAUGAUUGUGACUGAGCGGCGGACGGGUGAGUAACGCGUGGGUAACCUGCCUCAUACAGGGGGAUAACAGUUAGAAAUGACUGCUAAUACCGCAUAAGACCACGGUACCGCAUGGUACAGUGGUAAAAACUCCGGUGGUAUGAGAUGGACCCGCGUCUGAUUAGGUAGUUGGUGGGGUAACGGCCUACCAAGCCGACGAUCAGUAGCCGACCUGAGAGGGUGACCGGCCACAUUGGGACUGAGACACGGCCCAAACUCCUACGGGAGGCAGCAGUGGGGAAUAUUGCACAAUGGGGGAAACCCUGAUGCAGCGACGCCGCGUGAGUGAAGAAGUAUCUCGGUAUGUAAAGCUCUAUCAGCAGGGAAGAAAAUGACGGUACCUGACUAAGAAGCCCCGGCUAACUACGUGCCAGCAGCCGCGGUAAUACGUAGGGGGCAAGCGUUAUCCGGAUUUACUGGGUGUAAAGGGAGCGUAGACGGCAGUGCAAGUCAGAAGUGAAAGCCCGGGGCUCAACCCCGGGACUGCUUUGGAAACUGUGCAGCUAGAGUGUCGGAGAGGUAAGCGGAAUUCCUAGUGUAGCGGUGAAAUGCGUAGAUAUUAGGAGGAACACCAGUGGCGAAGGCGGCUUGCUGGACGAUAACUGACGUUGAGGCUCGAAAGCGUGGGGAGCAAACAGGAUUAGAUACCCUGGUAGUCCACGCC